UGCAGUCUUGUCAAAUUCAGUGUCUCUUGUCGGUGGACCACACUGGCCAAAAUGGCUGCAACACUAAAUUGUAGCUCCAUGUGCUCCACUUCCCUAAACAAUGGGCUGGCAGAGACAGUUGGAGCUACUGACACUC